GACGAACGCUGGCGGCGUGCCUAAUACAUGCAAGUUGAGCGAUGAAGCUUUGUGCUUGCACCAUUUUGAAGAGCAGCGAACGGGUGAGUAACGCGUGGGGCAUCUGCCUUUGAGCGGGGGACAACAUUUGGAAACGAAUGCUAAUCCCACAUAACAACUUUCAACAUAGUUUUUAAGUUUAAAUGUUGCCAUUGCAUCACUCAAAGAUGAUCCCGCGUUUUAUUAGGUAGUUGGUGAGGUAAAGGCUCACCAAGGCGAUGAUCUAGAGCCGAACUGAGAGGGUGAUCGGCCAGAGUGAGACGGAGACACGGACCAAACUCACAGGGGAGGGAGCAGUAGGGAAACUUCGGCAAGGGACGAAAGUCAGACCGAGAAACGCCGCGGGAGUGAAGAAGGUUUUCGGAUCGUAAAAGACUGUUGGUAGAGAAGAACGUGGGUGAGAGUGGAAAGCUCAGCAAGUGACGGUAACGACACAGAAAGGAACGGCUAACUACGUG
rnacentral:rRNA from 1 species